CACAAAGAUAAAGAGAUGAUGUGU
rnacentral:siRNA from 1 species